rnacentral:tRNA from 1 species
GCGAGUGUGCUGGAAUGGCAGACAGGUACGACUCAGAAUCGUAUGAUAGUAAUAUCGUGUGGGUUCAAGUCCCAUUACUCGCACCA